AGAGUUUGAUCCUGGCUCAGAUUGAACGCUGGCGGCAGGCCUAACACAUGCAAGUCGAGCGGUAACAGAUCCAGCUUGCUGGAUGCUGACGAGCGGCGGACGGGUGAGUAAUGCAUAGGAAUCUGCCCGAUAGUGGGGGAUAACCUGGGGAAACCCAGGCUAAUACCGCAUACGUCCUACGGGAGAAAGGGGGCUCCGGCUCCCGCUAUGGGAUGAGCCUAUGUCGGAUUAGCUAGUUGGUGAGGUAACGGCUCACCAAGGCCGCGAUCCGUAGCUGGUCUGAGAGGAUGAUCAGCCACAUCGGGACUGAGACACGGCCCGAACUCCUACGGGAGGCAGCAGUGGGGAAUAUUGGACAAUGGGGGCAACCCUGAUCCAGCCAUGCCGCGUGUGUGAAGAAGGCCCUCGGGUUGUAAAGCACUUUCAGCGAGGAAGAACGCCUAGCGGUUAAUACCCGCUAGGAAAGACAUCACUCGCAGAAGAAGCACCGGCUAACUCCGUGCCAGCAGCCGCGGUAAUACGGAGGGUGCGAGCGUUAAUCGGAAUUACUGGGCGUAAAGCGCGCGUAGGUGGCUUGAUAAGCCGGUUGUGAAAGCCCCGGGCUCAACCUGGGAACGGCAUCCGGAACUGUCAAGCUAGAGUGCAGGAGAGGAAGGUAGAAUUCCCGGUGUAGCGGUGAAAUGCGUAGAGAUCGGGAGGAAUACCAGUGGCGAAAGCGGCCUUCUGGACUGACACUGACACUGAGGUGCGAAAGCGUGGGUAGCAAACAGGAUUAGAUACCCUGGUAGUCCACGCCGUAAACGAUGUCGACCAGCCGUUGGGUGCCUAGCGCACUUUGUGGCGAAGUU
rnacentral:rRNA from 1 species